rnacentral:rRNA from 1 species
GACGAACGCUGGCGGCGUGCCUAAUACAUGCAAGUUGAGUGCUUAAGGUUGGUACUUGUAUCAACUGGAUGAGCAGCGAAGGGGUGAGUAACGCGUGGGUAAUCUGCCUUUGAGCGGGGGACAACAUUUGGAAUCGAAUGCUAAUACCGCAUAAAAACUUUAAACACAAGCUUCAAGUUUGAAAGAUGCAAUUGCAUCACUCAAAGAUGAUCCUUCGUUGUAUUAGCUAGUUGGUCAGGUAAAGGCUCACCAAGGCGAUGAUACAUAGCCGACCUGAGAGGUGGUACGGCCACUUUUGGAGUGAGUCACAGCCCAUACUCCUACCGGAGGCACCAGUAGGGAGUCCUCGGCAAUGAACGAAAGACUGACCGAGCAACGCCGAGUCAGUGCAGAACGUUUUCGGAUCGUAAAAAUCUGUUCGUAGAGAAGAACGUUGGUAAGAGUAAAAAGCACAUCAAGUAACGGUCACUGCACAGAAAGCGACGGCUUACUACGUG